UACGUAGGGUGCGAGCGUUGUCCGGAAUUAUUGGGCGUAAAGAGCUCGUAGGCGGUCUGUCGCGUCGAAUGUGAAAACCCGGGGCUCAACUCCGGGCUUGCAUUCGAUACGGGCAGGCUAGAGUUCGGUAGGGGAGUCUGGAAUUCCUGGUGUAGCGGUGAAAUGCGCAGAUAUCAGGAGGAACACCGGUGGCGAAGGCGGGACUCUGGGCCGAUACUGACGCCGAGGAGCGAAAGCGUGGGGAGCGAACAGG
rnacentral:rRNA from 1 species